GUGACUCUAAAAAAUUAAUUUUUUUAACAUUUAAUUAAUACAGUAUAAAUUAAUUUGUUAUAAUCCUAACCUUAACUUAAUUCACUUAAACAUAUUUCCCCCAAUCUUUUCCUAAUUCCCCACAAAUUGCCCCAAGUCCCAAUCCCAAUUCGUUCCUCUUUUCCUAAUUCACUUAAACACUUAAAUUGAAAACGUGUGGAGCAAGUCCUCGCCGGAGCUCGCGAGUGAAGAAAUAGCAUAAUGACUGGACAAAUGAUGAUGACGUGACUCUAAAAAAUUAAUUUUUUUAACAUUUAAUUAAUACAGUAUAAAUUAAUUUGUUAUAAUCCUAACCUUAACUUAAUUCACUUAAACACUUAAAUUUAUUCCUUAAUCAUCAACAUCUUCAUCUGCUUAUAUAAAAAAAAUCAACACCUUCAUCUUCCACUGUUAUUCUCUUCAUCAUCAUCAUCCACCAUCAAAACAACCGAACCCA
rnacentral:lncRNA from 1 species